UUUCUGAUGAGAUUAAUUGGUCCGUGUUUAUGAAUUUAAUUGACUAUAACCAUCCAAUUACUGAUUUUU
rfam:Lutzomyia longipalpis Contig14022, whole genome shotgun sequence.